GCGUUUUCCCCCUUUUUAACAUCCCCUCGCUUUAUUCCUCUCUGGGGUUGGGAGACUAUGUAGCCGCAAGAACGUACUACCAAAGAGCUCUCCUGCUCUCUCCUGGCUCCAAGCUGCUGAAGGAGAACCUGGCCAAGCUGGACAGACUGGAGAAGAAACUGCAGGGAGGAUAAAGGAGCCUUUAAAACACAAUCAGGAGAUUACCUUACCGAGGGCUUGAAGAGUCGAUACUGAGAUUCUGAGCUGACUGCUGUAGAAGCACCUUCAGUAAUCAAUGGUGCUGGGGAAGAAAUCUGUAAAAGGAGAUCCAAGGCUAACGUUAAGGCUCCACACUGCAAUAGUGUGGUGCAUCAUAUGGUAGCCUCAUCGACUCAUUGUAUCUUUAGCUUUAUCUGAUCUCUGAUCAGAACAUUUUGAAGGCCCCUUGCAAAAACGUGUAUCUCAUUAAUCUGCUGCAUCUCACAUACUCGAGGAGCUUUCAUCCAAAUCAACAGGAUCAACAGGACAGGGGCUCUUAGAGCUGGAACGCUCUCUGAAUAUGUUCUGUGAACAUGACGCCGCUCUCCAUUUGAUCGGAAAGUGUUUUUUUGUUUGUUGUUACGUUUUUGUUUGUGGGUUUUUUGUUUUUUUGUUUUUUUUUGGGUGCAGUUUUUAUCCGUGAUUGUACGACUGACUUUGAAUCAUGUAUAAACUUGCUUAGAUAAAAAUAAAUGACACGGUCAUUUUCUGCGCCAAGUAUGUCACCCUGUUUCUAUUGAGUUAUUUAAACAUUUUUCCCUUUUCUUUUUUUUUUCUUCCUUUUUUUUAAAUGGUGAAAGUGUUUUUUCCGAUGUGGAAUAUCCAGAACGACGAACGUCAUCGUGAGGAACUGUGCAACGAUUUGCAUAUAAAUCUCUUCUUAUUUUGCCUAUUAAUGAAGACUGUUUACGUGACGUGAAACGAUAUCAAGACGAUAGGAUGAGGACGUGCUUUUAUGACACUCGUAUUUUAUCCUUGUUUAGUCGUGGUCAUCAUUCCAUUAACGAGUCCUUCAUAUACUUCGGCUGUCAUGGAAGACCUUCAGCAGUAGCAGUGCGUUUCAUCUCGUUUCAGAAACCCAUGUGAAAUCAUGUUUGUUUAUUUAAAUAAAGAAUAUCCAAAAUGUACAGCACGAUUAUUU
ensembl:lncRNA